rnacentral:tRNA from 1 species
CCUAGCAGCUCAAAUGGUAAAGCAUCUGCCUGCAAUGCAGGAGACGUAGGUUCAAUCUUUCCUGGG